GGGCUCAGUUCUAAAAGUACGCGGUUGUCGUUUAGUUGGAUAUUACCAUGAAAUUCAUAAUUAAUUCGAUUAUUGUCACAUUGUGCUUACUAAGGCAAAGGAUUUUUGGAUAUGAUGAAGAGAGAUGUGAUGAUGAUCUCAACUCCUCUGAAAAUGGUUGUGCCGAUCAGCCCGAAGUCACGUAUUCAAAUUUUUAUAAUAGUUGCAUCAAAGCCCAAUUUUGCGAAGCCGAUAGAAACCAUAACUCAAAAAACAGAUUUAGGACUUUUGCUGAAUGCGAUAUGGCUUGCCUUGGUCAUCUGAAAAAAUAUUCACUUGAUGCACCGCAAACUGAGGAACAGUAUGUGGCAGCAGUUGAAAAAUUUAGAACUGCAUUUUAUCCGGGAUAAAACUAUGAGCAAACAUUACUAUAUAAUUUAAAUUGGAGCGCAGCCGACUUAAGAAGCCCUGAAGAAUUGUGUUAAAUUUCUCUAAGUGUUAGAAUGGCAAGUAAAUUUGUUUUUGAGUUGCUCAUCAAUGAAAGUUA